rnacentral:misc_RNA from 1 species
UCUCCGUAGGUGAACCUGCGGAGGGAUCAUUACACAAAUAUGAAGGCGGGCUGGCACCUCCCGGGGUGGCCAGCCUUGCUGAAUUAUUCCACCCGUGUCUUUUGCGUACUUCUUGUUUCCUUGGUGGGCUCGCCCACCACAAGGACCAACCCAUAAACCUUUUUGCAAUGGCAAUCAGCGUCAGUAACAAUGUAAUAAUUUACAACUUUCAACAACGGAUCUCUUGGUUCUG